UGGCUAAAGAAAUAGGUAAUGGGUCUGUUGUGUAUACAGCCUACAGGAAUGCAGCCUUAAUAAGUUAAACCAGUGUUUGGCACUGGACUAGCAGCCCUCAGUUUUGAAGGUUGGCUGUUUUAAAAGUGUAGUGCUGUUUCCCAAGUUCAAUCAGUGUAUUUUUUGGGUCUUCAAUAAGAUGUAUCAUGUGAAGAUGCCUUUCGUUUAAAAUUUUUUUGUUAUGUGCUUUGGAGCGUUACACGUAUGCAUGCAACAAUGAUGUUCAAGAGGUGACGAGAGCUCCAACGACAAAAUGAAUAAAUCAAUCAUAAACUGCCAUCAACGAAGAUCAUCAGAUAUUAGUCCAUUGCACCAAAGUAUUUUGCACUCUGAUGAUUUGUUUCACUGCCUGUCAACUGUUGGAGUCUCCAG